rnacentral:lncRNA from 1 species
GUGCUGGAGAAGGAAAUGGCAAACCACCCACAUGGGAUCAUGAAAGCCUGAAACAACUGAAAAAUGACAGAACGUGAACAUAGAAGACGCUCUUUGAGGCUCUCAGUCUGUGACCCUAGAACAUCAUUACCACCACCAGCACCACCGCCAGCACCCAGAAUCUCCAGGCCUCUGAGAGGUGAUUUGGGAUCUGAUAUUGGUUUCACCUCCUCCAUCAAGCAGAAGGAGCUGUACAGGCCCUUCUUGGUCAGGUCAAAGGAGGUGGUCUCUGAGGUCCUUUUCAGCAUGGAGAUGUUGUGCCAGUGUGAGCUGUUAUUAGGGACACCAGUGUUUAGUGAUCGCCAUUAUCAUCAUGUGCCCUGUUCCCACGGAUGCACGGUUUUUAGUCUACCUAAAGCAACCGCCCAACACGGCAUUCAGGUUUAUUUUCUAAGGCAACAACUGCUCAUGAGCCUUGGUAUUUUUGCCUUUGAAGCUUGCCCCACAUACAGCAGCUAGAUUGAAUCAUACCAUGCCAUCAGAACUGCAAAAAACAUUUAUUUCAGAGAGUGCUAGAUAUAGAACCACCAUUCGGUGAACACUCUCACUACCCAUUCCCCAAACUACAACCUCCCAGACAGGUAAAGCGACUGGAGAGCGUCCAGAGGAAAGUGACCAGCCUGGCAAUUCCCCUCAUCUUCAUAGGCUGUCAUGAGGCUCAAACAUAUGUAAAGUGCUUUCAGUGCUUCCAAGGUUACAUAAAUGUCAGUUAAAAACAAAACAACUCUGGAACCCUUUUCUGUGUCUAAGUUGGGGGGGGCAGGGUAAUCAAACAGGUCCCCAUUUCAAUGUAUCUGUUACAAACCACACAUAACCCUAGCAAAAAUGUUUGAGACAGAAUGGGAUAGGGUCUGCCCCUGUGAUUUCACCAGGAGAGGAAGAACCUUGACCAAUAUUUAUAUGGGCAGCUGGGUGGCACAGUGGAGUGCCUGGAGUCAGGAAGAGCUGAGUUCAAAUCCAGCCUCAGACACUUUCUAGCUGUAUGACCCUGGGCAAGUCACUUUGCCCCGUUUGCUUCAGUUUCCUCAUCUAUAAAGUGAAGGAAUUCCCUCUAGAUGGCUUCUGGGGUCCUCUUCCGUUCUUAGUCUCCGCAGUACGGUGCCUCGGAGAGCGAGCUGGAUUUGGAGCCUUCCCUCUCCUCUAAAUGUCUGGUCCUGAGGGCUAGAACCCCGCUUUAAGCUCUAGAGUUGGGACCCUAGACGCCCUCCACGACCCGCAGCGGGCGCUCGGGAUAGAGACAGUGGCAGCCCUGCUCCCAGCUCCGCUCUCCGCCGCUCCGGAGUUUGAAUCUUCCCGCCUCUCAGAACCCUGCCCACCAAUCAGAGCCUUCCCUGAUGACAUCACCACGCCGACCUGCACAGCCUCCUGGGGAAUGGAGUUCAGAGGGUGUCUCCUUUUGAGCAGUGCCCCCGAAGCAUCACAGGAAGCGAAGUCCCGAGGGCGUGUCCUCCUUCGCCAG